rnacentral:lncRNA from 1 species
ACUAAGGCGGCAAUAACGGAACAAGACACCCGGCAAAAGGGCUAGGCCUCCCGUCAUUUACCUAAUAUAUAGAUACAUUAAUUAAAUAACAGAAGUUAAGAUAAUGAUAUCAAGCUCAUGGCAACUCAAGAGUUAUAAACACCUGCAACUACAAUGCUAACAUUAGUAGCUGAGCAAGCCUACCUAGCCAUGCAAAUUUGCUAGGAAAGAGUAAGGUGUUUGGGCUCAUGGCAUAUGAAGAGGCAAUAUACUUUCAGAGGUAGGCAGCGAGCAAUAUGACGUGGAAUCGAAACUAACAUAACAAGUCUAGAUAUGGGAUCAAGGUCAUGUCAUCUUGCCUGUGAUAUCCUCAGCUUGGAAUGGUUCUGGAUCGUCCUGCACGUACUCUCCUGACUCCACGUAAUCGGUCUCCGCUCCCGGUGCUACCCAACACAAGAAUGACAGCCAAUGAACAGCAGCACCACAAAAUGCAGCAAUCACAUGAUGCAUGAGAUGAAAGUUGAGCAUGCACCACUAUUUCUAACACUAGCACAAGCAAGAUAAACUACAACGAGUUCCUGGACAUAACUUUGCUCUAAACUAUUUGGACAUGCAUGGGAAUGAUAUGGACAGAUGCAUCUCGUAAAAACGGUGCAAAACCAUAUAAAGAACUUUGCAAACGGAGCUACGGAUCAACGGGAACCAACGAGACACGAUAUGAAGCCCUACGUGAAAGAUUCAUCACCACACACACAAUUGGCGCAAAUCUGGUGUUUCCAGGUUGCCAAGACAUAUAUUAACCCAACAUGAAUGAAAUGGAGCAAGGUAGAACACCCCAACAACAAUUAAACACAAACUUUGAACAAAAUGUCAAAACUACGCAAUCUGCCAAUUUCUGCAUCUUAGCUGUUUGAGAGCAACAUGCAACAUAGCUACAGGUCUUCAAACAUGACAAACAAUAUAUGUGGAUGUUGCCAACCAAGAACACUACCAUCUCCAGCAAGAAUCACAGCAAAAGGAAUUAAGCUCUAGAAGAUACAAGGCCACAAACUUUCCCAAAACCAUCAGUUCUCCGGGACUUAGUGAAAAUUUCUGCACCUGAGUUUCUGUUUCUGUUCUGAAGCCUUUUGACAGCAAUCAAAACACAAGCUACUGGACUCCAAAUGACUUGAAAAAUGACAGGAAGCUGCACAAACAUACCAGGUUCAAAACACUAGCACUGAACUAAGUCCAGUUCUCAACAUACUGACCUGCACAACCUUAUCUACAGGGGAAGAAAAUGUUUUCAGCGUUCCAGACUUGGUGAAAUUUUCAGAGUUCGAAAUUCUGGAAUUUUUCCAGCCACAUGCCCACUUUGUCUAGGCAUAGUUUGCACACACAAGUUCCCAAGAGGUGUUUGACACCACUAUGGUAUUGAGCACAAACCCCUACAACUAACACACCAAGAUCCAUGCCUUUGGGCUCCAUCUAUACCAUGGAAACAAAGCCCAAACUUUCAACAAAAUGAAAAAUGCAAAUCCAAAAGGUAUACUUUUAAGAUGACAAUGCAUAGGAGGGUUUCAUGUGCACAAUAACAAAGUGACAUGGGGGUUUGAACCCCAUGUUUGUGUCAUGCACAUCAACAGCUCCAACACACACAAUUCCUCUCAAGCACUAGCAUCAAGCUCACACACAAGAAAUCUUUAUAUAACAAGAGAGUAUACACACCCCCCACACAUGGGCAUGUGAUGGUGCACACUCUCCCAAGCACCACUAGUAUCUUCCUAGUAUUCAUGUCACCAUCAUUGUGCAAACUACCACAACAAACCCCAUCCUCACAUGCUAACACAAUAGCUAUCUUGUGCUACUCCUCGCCUCAAGACAAGUGAUGAGGGGGAGGCACCCACACCCCACUAUAACAAGGCAAGAUAAUAAAAUCUACAAGAUCCCUUAGACCACCUUAAUCUCCCAAAGAUGGGCUCCACAAGAGUAGCUAGUGCAUCCUAUCUCCUUAAGGCACAACACACACAAUGAAAACACCUCACAUGCACAACUCCUACCAAGUGUACUCCACACCACUAGAUGCAAUCCACAAGGCUCACCAUGCUAGCAAUACCACAUCUAAUCACUUGCAAGUGUGCAACUCACACACAAGGGAACUGCUACUAACUACACUAGCAGGAGAAAAAAAAAUGAACUUAAAUCCAGCUUGCUGCCCAAGCCCAAGGAAGAGGUAGAACAACUAAAGGCAGCAAGAAAAGAAGGGAAAAAAAUAGCUACAGCAAAUAACAGGGUCCUGGGAUUCGAACCCUGCAUCCCCUGGU